AAUUUGAAAUCUGGCGUCUUUGGCGUCCGAGUUGUAAUUUGAAGAAGGUAUCUUUGGGCCCGGCUCUUGUCUAUGUUCCUUGGAACAGGACGUCACAGAGGGUGAGAAUCCCGUGCGAUGAGAUGACCCGGGUCUGUGUAAAGUUCCUUCGACGAGUCGAGUUGUUUGGGAAUGCAGCUCUAAGUGGGUGGUAAAUUCCAUCUAAAGCUAAAUAUUGGCGAGAGACCGAUAGCGAACAAGUACAGUGAUGGAAAGAUGAAAAGAACUUUGAAAAGAGAGUGAAAAAGUACGUGAAAUUGUUGAAAGGGAAGGGCUUGAGAUCAGACUUGGUAUUUUGCAUGUUGCUCUCUCGGGGGCGGCCGCUGCGGUUUACCGGGCCAGCAUCGGUUUGGAGCGGCAGGAUAAUGGCGGAGGAAUGUGGCACGGCUUCUGCUGUGUGUUAUAGCCUCUGACGAUACUGCCAGCCUAGACCGAGGACUGCGGUUUUUACCUAGGAUGUUG
rnacentral:rRNA from 1 species